UGGUUAUGUUGGAAGUGCUCCGUGUUAC
rnacentral:piRNA from 1 species